UGGUACAGCAGUAGAUGUUGAAUCUUCCCACCAGUACCCCACCACAUGUUGCUGUGUGACAGAUGGCAGCAAAGGUGCAGUCUGACAAAAUGGCAUCUGGCAUGGAAGUGUGUAAGAAGAAUUGGUGUGUCACUGAAUUCCUCCACAUGGAAAAAAUGGUACCCACUGACAUUUGCUGACACUUUCUGAACAUUUAUGGAUACCAAAGAGUGGAUGUGAGAACAGUGAGGUGAGCCAAUAAGGACUGUGGAAGAUUCAAAAAAAUCUUGCUCCAAAAAAAGCAUCAUCGUGAUUAAAAUAUCCAGCAAGAACUGUGGUUAGUGUGAGAUGUAGUCAUAUAUUGCCUGCUGUACUUCUUCUAAGAUUUGGUACAAUUUGAUUCUACUGACUGCUUCAGAUGGAAAUCACAUGACCCCUUACCAAAAAAUCAAAGUCUGAUUAUUCACAUUGUACAAAGUUACUGAGAAAGUGGUCAAGAAGUGAAUAGAAUACAGAAAAAGUACAGACUUGCAAAUUGCGGAGAUUGAAGAGUGCUUUGAAACACUCCGUGGAAAGAACCAGUCCAGGAAUUCAGACAGGAUUCUGAACAGUGUUCUUUGCUGAUUAUUUUCUACCAUGUGUCAGGAGAUCUGCCUGACAGCAGGAAUUCCUUGAGGAACUGGUUAAUACAACUGUGGAGAUACAAAACUGAUUGUUAAGCUACUUCACAUGAAGGAAAAAAAAUUACACUGUGGAAUAUCCCAGUAUGGCUCUUGAAACAGUUUUUUCUUUAAAAGUACAUGUGGAGUUUGGGUCAUUCCUAUGUAUCUUUUCUAUGUGUAAGACUACAGAAAGAUCCCUGAUUUGUAUUUCAGAAAUAUAAGAUAGAAUAUCUUACCAAGACAGGACAAGGUGAGAAAUAUGUCUGUGGACAAUCUAAAUUCUUCCAAGACAAUACCACGGCAGUGGACAAAAGAGCUCUAUAUAACCAUUCUUCUCCAUCUUUCUUCAGAAGUAUGAUAAUGAAUUUUCAGCCACAAUCAGACUUUAACAACAGUAUCACUGCAUUAAUGAUGGAAAGAAUUUACUUUUUUUGUCCUGUUAUCUUUGACUGCAGAGCUGAGCAUUUCUUAUCUUUUCUCCUUAUGCUCUGAACACCUUUAUUAUAUACAUGAAUUAUUAUUUCCCAGCCAUUCCACAUUCCUAAUGAAAUCCUCUGAAUAACGGAUGUCACAGACCCUCUCUGCGGAACAACUAAAUCAUCCGCUGUACAAAUGUGAUUCACUUUCUCUUCUGUUUCCUCAUUGCAUAAAUAUUCUGAUCCCCGUACUGAGAACAUGUAUCGGCAGUGCUCAGUCAGGCUCUUGCGUAAAAGGAACUGCCUGAGAGUGGACAACUGAUGCGUGUAUAUGGAGGGGAAUCACAGCUGCGUGAACAGGGCUGUGGAGAAGGGGACUCACCAUGGCGUGGCCAGUGGAAUGACAAACGUCCACCAAGAUGGUUAUUCCUGACUACCACAACAAAUAUUCAGGGCUAUGUCACUGAAGAGAAGGUUGAGCAAUAUUUGAGCAUAUCUGUUUAGAACUGAAAACUGGACUUGUUCCCAGCCCUUCUUUGUAACCCAGAGCUUACAGAGAUAUGCCAAAAGUACACUUACCCACCCGAGGUGUGCCAGAUACAAAGUGGGUAGAGCACAGAACGUUUUAACCUUGCAGCUACACAGACAGCUUUCAACUGCAUCUCUGUUUAAACAUUCACCAUUACAGUACCACCUAAUUCUCAUACUCACAGACAAUGAAUAUGCAGUCUAGAUCAUCCCCAGCAAAAUACAGUUUGUAGCUGUAAGGCAAUUACAUAUGCCAGGACCAUACCACCCUGUACUUUUUUGCCAAAAUAAACACAUCACAGUGGAGAAAUCCAUAUGUUGUUUAUGCUUUACAGAACACACCUCUUUGGCUGACCAGGACCAUGGGGAAGAUUUGAAUGUCACAAUAGUCUUACUGAAAAUGAACAGAGAUUUUUUUUGUUUCUCACUGGUACAGCAUUUGUGAAAUAUUGAGCAAGAUAAUCUGAUACAUUUUAAAAAAUAGGAUUUUUCAAUUUUAUAUCUGUGAUUUUUUAUCCAAAGAGAAAUUCAAAUAAAACUUCCAUUGGAAAAUUUAUCCUCUCUGUAAAUAUACCCUGUUUAACUAAAUUCACUGAUGUCAAGUAAGUCCUCUUUCUUAGAGGAAUGGUAUUGAUACAGGCAUAAUACCUUUACCAUGAUAAUAAGUAAAUGUAGUCACAAAUCUGUGGUAUUCUUUCUUUAUUUUUCAGUUGAUGUCGCACCUGAUCGAGGUGACAAUAUAUUUAAGGAUAUUAACUUUUUCCAUGUAGUCAUUUGACUUAAUACAGCAUAGCAUCAGUGCAGAGACGUCAACGGGAGGUUUUAGAUAGGAAAAAAAUACUCAAAAAGUUAGGAGAGGUUUGCCCCUGGGGAAGGCUUUUGUUCACCUUUGCAGGCUGGGAAGUGGCCAGCUGUGCAGCAGCACCACUCACAAUGAUCUGGUGACUGGACAAAGCUCUAAGCAAACUCUGACUUUUCCAUGGCAAAGGAAAUAAAAUAUUUACUGUCUAUGUCACCUCUGUGAGGUUCACAGAGUUUUGUGCAGAUGCCAAAACUUCUGUGUUUACACAGAAGUUCUUCUAUGGUUGCACUUCUAACAGUGUUUACCCAA